rnacentral:misc_RNA from 1 species
GAUGAAGAACGUAGCGAAAUGCGAUAAGUAAUGUGAAUUGCAGAAUUCAGUGAAUCAUCGAAUCUUUGAACGCACAUUGCGCCCGUCAGUAUUCUGGCGGGCAUGCCUGUUCGAGCGUCAUUACGCCCCUCAAGUCCCCUGUGGACUUGGUGUUGGGGAUCGGCGAGGCUGGUUUUCCAGCACAGCCGUCCCUUAAAUUAAUUGGCGGUCUCGCCGUGGCCCUCCUCUGCGCAGUAGUAAAACACUCGCAACAGGAGCCCGGCGCGGUCCACUGCCGUAAAACCCCCCAACUUUUUAUAGUUGACCUCGAAUCAGGUAGGACUACCCGCUUAACUUAAGCAUAUCAAUAAGCGGAGGA